CGAAGAACAAGAUAGUUUUUUACACAGAGAAGAUGAUGGCAUUCUUCAACAACAGCUUAGGGAAGAAAAAGGAAAACAAAGAGUCCUAAACGAACUUUUCAAAUGUGCAUAAAGUAAACAUUAACUUGUAGAGGCACGAUAGUUUCACUAUUUUAUUAGUUGUUAUAUCAUGAUGAAUUUGUUGAAUUUUAAUGUGUAAUAAUCAAAUUAAAAGAAACCUUUUGUAAUGUAAUAAUAGUUACCAAUGAGUGCAAUAUUCUGUUGUAAUUAUUAACUUUAAGAAAGUUUUGAAAAUAAAAUAUUUUUAUCGG
rnacentral:misc_RNA from 1 species